rnacentral:rRNA from 1 species
GCACAAGCGGUGGAUGAUGUGGAUUAAUUCGAUGCAACGCGAAAAACCUUACCUACCCUUGACAUGUCUGGAACCUUGCUGAGAGGCGAGGGUGCCUUCGGGAGCCAGAACACAGGUGCUGCAUGGCUGUCGUCAGCUCGUGUCGUGAGAUGUUGGGUUAAGUCCCGCAACGAGCGCAACCCUUGUCAUUAGUUGCUACAUUCAGUUGGGCACUCUAAUGAGACUGCCGGUGACAAGCCGGAGGAAGGUGGGGAUGACGUCAAGUCCUCAUGGCCCUUAUAGGUGGGGCUACACACGUCAUACAAUGGCUGGUACAAAGGGUUGCCAACCCGCGAGGGGGAGCCAAUCCCAUAAAGCCAGUCGUAGUCCGGAUCGUAGUCUGCAACUCGACUACGUGAAGUCGGAAUCGCUAGUAAUCGUGGAUCAGAAUGUCACGGUGAAUACGUUCCCGGGUCUU